CCCUUAGAUGUUCUGGGCCGCACGCGCGCUACACUGACACACUCAACAAGCUUAUAACCUUGUCCGAGAGGUCUGGGAAAUCUUUGAAUAUGUGUCGUGAUGGGGAUAGAUCGUUGCAAUUCUCGAUCUUCAACGAGGAAUUCCUAGUAAACGCAGUUCAUCAGACUGCAUUGAUUACGUCCCUGCCCUUUGUACACACCGCCCGUCGCACCUACCGAUUGAAUGGUCCGGUGAGAAUUUUGGAUUGAUGUUUCGUCGGGUUAACGCCAGACUUUACGUUGAGAAGUUAUUCAAACCUUGCCAUUUAGAGGAAGGUGAAGUCGUAACA
rnacentral:rRNA from 1 species